ACAGUUCGAGGUGGCCGCCGGGCAGUCCGGCGAGGGCUGCAGCUGCGGCGACAACUGCAAGUGCAACCCCUGCAACUGUUAAGCUGCAUGCACUCGUACGUAGUACGUGUGAUGGUGUGAGAGUAUACGUGAAUAACGAGCGUCUGAUCUGAUGGAGUCGAGCAAGUGUGCGUGUGUGUGUGGUUUACUUGCUCGCUCUCCGUCUAUGCUCUGCCCUUGCUGUCCCUGUGUGUAUGUGUAUGCAUGUGUCCCUGUAAUUGCUUCAUCUAUCUCCACUAUGGAUGGAGUGGUGAAUAUGUAAGAAUGAAAGAUUUACCUAAUUAACUACUCCUAAAUCGCUCCUUCAGUUAACUGGUUUUCUUGAUUUUCUGGGCGGCGCAUCUUCGGCUAUUUAUCCUCUAAUAACAUGAAGUAUACAACGAAGAACAAAUUGACCCCUUUUCCUAAAAAAAACAACAACAAAAACAAAUUGACCCAAAAAAUUGCUGAUUCCUCCUAUACAAUGAAGAUUUCGAUCGAGAAUUGCAACCGUCAGAACGUUCAAUGUUUCUUAACCGGAAAACUAACAAAAAAGAAAAGAAAAAAGGUUGUUCACAAGUGAGCAACUAUGUUGCUGUGUUGUUUAUUUUCUGGGCAGCGCUCUGUGCCGGUCGAUCGGCGCAAGCCCUAGAUCGGUCCCCGUCAAAGACAUUCGAUCGAGAUGGCUGUAACCGUUGGAUCUGCCCCCUUUGCCGUUCCCUUCAUCUCACACAAAAAAUGAAACAUUUCCUAAUUCGAAUUAAGUGAUGGCACUAUUUCAAGAUAUACUUUUAAAGCUAAACUUUUCCAUCUCGUGCAAAUACGUGCAUGUAGAAUUACUGGAAUAUUUUAAUUUUUUUUGGAGAAACAUGAAUUUUGGUCAGUUUUACAAAAUCGUGCUAUAGGUAAACCAAACGGGGCAUUUCUAAGCAAGUGGUUUUCCAACUUUCGAGAAUUAAAAUGGUGCUAUAGGUAGACCAAAAUGGGGCAUUUCUAAGUAAAUGGUUUUCCAACUUCCGAGAAAUAGUCUGAGAUUUUUAUGACAAGCUUAUGUACCGAUGUUAAGAGACCGUGAAAAGUUUCACAAUUUUUUUUCUUCUUAAAAGUUGAAGAAAAUGCUAAACUACAUUUAUUACAUAACGAAAGGUGAUUUUAAUGCACAUUUCUUAUUAUAUAUCUUAAACCAUGGUAUAUAAAUUUUUUGAAGUGGAAAAAUGCUGAUCACUAAAAUUGGGUUUAUGGAAUUUGCAUUUGUUAUGGGAGAUAGUCCAUUUGGUGAACCAAUCAUUAUUUCUUUAUUUGUAUUCUUCUUAGAUUUUUAUCAUAACCUAUUGUACCAAUAUUGGGACCCCUGAUUAACUUUUAGUAUUUUGUGACAACAUUAAGAUGUUUUGUUUUGUCAUCCCCUCUUAAAUAGUAGAAGAAAAUGCCAAAUUAUGAUUAUUAUUACAUAACAAAAGGUGAUUUUAAUUCACAUUUGUUCACCAAGCCCUCGAUCACGGUGUUAUGAUUAUACCGAAAAAGGCUUUCGCCCCGCUUUAUAGAUAAAGCAGACCGCCAAAGGACAUACAACCACACCAAGUCCACACACACACACCCAAGUACCACAACAAAGUCAUAAGGUUCUGCUGAGGGCACAGCUCAACAAGCCCAAAGAAAAAGAAAAAACAAAGCGAGACCAAAUGAAUGUAUCUAGAUUAUGAUUAUGAUUAUGACAACACAACGAGCGGUGAUUUUAAUUAUCAUUAUGAUUAUAAUCAUAAUCACAAUUUGCUAAAUUAUGAGCAUGGUUACUACUCCCUCGGCUCUGAAUUACUCGUCGCAGAAAUGAAUGUAUCUAGAUGUAUUUUAGUUCUAGAUACAUCCAUUUCUGCGAUGAGUAAUUUGGAACGGAGGGAGUACUUGACAGCCCUCGGCCGCGACUGGGGCGGCCAAACACGCCGGAAGUUGUUGCCCUCUGUUCAUUUCUGUGCAGAAUGAGUUUGUCUUGAUACUGCCAAGAAGACCAGGCUAUUUACAAGUUGGUUUUGAAAAAGAAAGAGUUGACGGGAUAUUCAAGUCAAGCGUGGCAAAGGAAUAUUGUAUGCUAGAUUUCAGGAUAUGCUACCCUUCUGCGUCGAGUUUCAGUGUAUUCUUCUCCACUCAACUACCAGUCAUGCAGACAUGGCAGUGCCAUAGUACUUUUUUGAAUGUUGGCAGGAGAGCUGCCAAAACCAUUAAUGACAAAGGGACAUAUACUGAAAUCCAAUUUAAGGGGAGUGGAUAACUGCAGUGAAUGAGCCACAUAGUCUUCUUAUGAUCACUGCACCAGCAGAGGCGGAGGACGGAAAAAAAUUAAGGUGUGGCGAAGUCUUAAGGAAAGAAUUCUUCUGAUGCAAAUCGCAAGAGUCAAUACACAUUACAACCAAAAACCAAGUACACUGAAAAUCUAGGCAUGUUUCAAUAGGAAAACUACCUAAAACAUACCGAUAAUGAAGCUUUCAAUGGCGUCUAGAAGACCCAGGCAAUGGCAAUGCCCUACCUUCAUUCUGAAAAUCUUGCUUAAUUUUACCAAGAUCUAUACUUUUGAAGAUCUCUCGCUCAAUGUAACAAACCAUCAAGUCAUUAAGCCAACCAUCGGUCAUCUUGCUGCGCAACUCAGUCUUGAUAAUUUUCAUUGAUGAGAAGGCCCUUUCAACAGUUGCCGUCGCUACCGGUAGUAGCAAUGCCAAUUCAAUGAGGCGAUAAACAGUAGGAAACAUGACAUGCCUUUCAAGUUCAACCAUCAUUUUAGCUAGGCUUGCAAUAUCAUGACAAGCUCUAAAGUCUUCAAUUCUUCUCAUAUGGAUAAUGAAUAGAUCAAGGUUAUCUUCUAUAUGUUCACGUUCAUAGUCAGAGAAAUCAUCAUGAUAAAUCUCUGUGAGCCUAGCAAGCUUAUUCAAGUUGAACCUAGAAAACGAGUUUCUUGGGUCAAGACAAGAGAAGUUCUGGAGCAGCUCUGAAGAUACCUCAUUAAAACGAUGAUCAAACUCCGUGGUGAUGGAGUCUAUAGCAGCAUAGAAGGUGUCCACACGAAAAAAAUGAUCAGCCGUCACAUUGUUUCGUCCACCUUUUCUUGAUUUACCCCACUUUGUAAAGAUGUCAUCCAUACUUGGUAUUGGAAUGUCGUUUUUGGUGCAAAACACUUUGACAUCUUCCAAGAGUGGCUCCCAACCAUCAUUUCUCCAGUUGACCAAACGUGUUCUCACAUCUGUAACCAAUGACAUUGCCUGAAAUGAGAUAACUACAAUUUUAGAUGCAUGAACAAAAUACAUCAACCAUACUAGAUAGAUCUAACAUGAUCCAUCACAUAUUCACAUACCUGAACAACAUUUUGAUCCUUCUUUUGCAAUAGAAGAGAUAAAUCAUUUGUGAUACGAAGGAUUUUUAGCAUCAUCUUCAGGAUGAACACAAAGCUAAAGGUCUCCAUUUGAUGAACCAAACCUCCUGCCCUACAUGGAACACGCACAUCAUCCUCAACAAUGCCCAAAACUUCUAUGACUGCAUCCCACAUUGAUUCAAUGCGAGAUAAGGUUGUGUAAUGAGAUCCCCAUCUUGUGUCUCCAGGUCUGACCAACGAUGUUUCUUGAUUUUUCCCUCUUCCUGUGGGCAUCUCACCUCUCUCAAUCUUAUCCAAAAGAUCUUCCUUUUGCUUGUCAAGCAAUUUAUCCUUCCUCUUGCAAGAUGAAGUACUGACAUACCUGACAACCACGGCCAUUUGUUCUUUCACCGAUAUAUCACGACACUCAUCAAUAAGAACAGUGAAAAGACAAUCACCCAUCUCUUCUUUGAUUACUGUGGUGACUGCAGUUGCACAAUGUUUGACAAGUUCUUUUUGAAUUGUCCCGGAAGUCAUUUUGGCAUUUUGAGGACAUAGCUCAUCAAAUGCAACCUUCACUUCCGGAAUUCUUUCUUUGACCCAAUCAAGCAACUCUAAAAAAUUCCCCUUGUUCAAAGAAGAACUGGAUUCAUCAUGUCCACGAAAUGGUUCACCUUGCAAUGCUAGGUAACUUACAAUGCCCAAAGAUGUAUCCACACGAGUUUCAUACUUGACAAGUGAACCUUGGCUGUAAGUUGUAACUUUACUUUUCACACUUGCCCCUUGAUUUUUAAAAUCAUCGCAUGCUGUUUUUGAUAUAUUGUGGAUGCUACAUGGCCCACCAACAUGUUUACGAAAUGCCGCAACCGCAUUUUUCCAACAGUCAAAAUCCAAUUUGGAGAAGACAUCAUGCCCAAAUUUAUCAUCUAUUCGGUCAUGCUUAAAAAGAUAGCAACAGAAGCAAUAAGCCUUAUGUGUUGUUACACUAUAUUCCAACCAAACAAAAUCCUUAUACCAUUGUGGCCGGAAGCAUCUUCCAUCUCUAUUUGGGGGGAAAGUGCAACUAGUUGGUUGAGUUGCACCCAUUCGUAUAUAAGCAAAUCUAACAUCAUCUCUAAUGUUGGGGGCAAAACUAUCGAGUGGAAUGCGAAGUCCUGGAUCACCCUUUAUGUAAUCUUCACUAAAAAUAGUUAUACCUUCAAUCCCGUGAACUUCAACAUUCUCUUCCACUAUAGCUUCGACGGAAUCUGUAGUUUGUUCUUCCACUUGUUCGGUUGGCAUCAAAUUUUCAUGAUCUACUUCCAUGGAAGUCACUUGAUCUUGAUGAUUGACAUUUGCUGAAAUAUUGACACUUUCGCGGGUGCUUGGAUUCGUUUUUGAGCUGCUGUCACUACCAAUCACUUUAAAAUACCUUUUCAAAUCUGCAGUGACAAGAUUAAUAUAUCACUAAAAUCUGCUGGAUUGUAAUUUGUAAGGCUUCAAGAUGCUGUUCAAAAUUGCUACAAAAUUUCAGAAAAAUGAGAAAUUACCUCUUCCCCUUUUCUUUGAAUUUGCUAGUCCCUUCCCCCUUCCUUCCAUCUUCUGGCACUCUGGACCGAACAGCGCUGGUUCAGAACUUCAGAUAAUGGAGAACUGACAGAAGAAAAAACACCAACACCCAACAACAGAAAGUUCAGAGUUCGGACCCUACACCCUAGGGAUUACCAGAAAAAUCCCCGACUUCGGCUCUCGCCGUCGCCCGCUGGAGCCGCUGGUGAAGUCGUCGACGGAGCCGCAGCUGCGGCCGCCGCCGGAGCCGCCGCUUGAUGCGCCGCUGGAGGCCUGGAGCCGCCGCUUGCUGCGCCGCGGGAGGCCUGGAGCCGCCGCUGAAGGUGCCGCUGUGCAACAGCCCUCCAAGCCCCCAGCCCGUUGCCGCCGUCGACUGCCGUCGUCGCGUCCGCCUGGUCCUCGCGACCUGGCCAGCCGCCGCCGCCGCGCUAGGUUUGGGUGGGUGUCGCACUGUCGCGUUUGGGUCUGGGUGGGUGCCGCGCGCGUUGGUGGGUCUGAGUGGGCCAGUGGGGUACGUCGAGGCUCUCGAGCGGUCGAGCGCCGAUGUCCAGGUCAAAAGCGAUAGAUACAUAGGUAUAAAUUUUUUUUUGCCAAAAAUCAAGGUAUGGCGGGUGCCAUACCCUGCCCACCGGAGCCCUCCGCCAGUGGCACCAGGAAUCUGAAAGGCUGCCGUACUUGUUUGCAAUUUGUUGACUUCAAAAGGUCUUUUUUGCAGAAUGUUGAAAGCAUCAUGGGAGCAUUUAAGCCCCGGUAUCACCUGAUACGCAAUAUCACAAAGGUCCGAACCCAAACGCAAUCAUGCAAAUGUCUUGUUAUUUAACUCACAGGCAAAACCAGAAUAAACAGACAAUACCAUGCUUCACAAUCACAAACACAGUAGUAACGACAAGCAUAUUUCAUUCUGGUACAGUAUUUGGAAUACCAUGCUUCAGAAUAACAACCAAACCAAUACAGACAUGAAGGUGAAGUUACACGAGGAAACUGGUAGUGGAACAGUGGUCUGUAGUUGAGUGGCUUAGGCCUUGUUUGGAUUACCGUUUCUGUCUCAAAUACCCUUGUAAAAGACACAGGUCUCUGCUCGUCGUUUUGUUUCCAGCUGAAAAUCUGUUCAUGGCUGGUAAGACACACGUGUAGAAUAAAUACAUCCAUAUUAGAAUACACCGCAUCCAAGCGCGGCCUAAAUACUAAUUUCGAGACCAACAGGGUCAAUGUCACCGAAGAGUAUGCCGCCACUGCACCCCUUGAGUUCUAGGACAUUGUCGCAGCGAAGUCAAAAACUCACUGGUGAUUUCCCGGAACGAAAUAUGCUUUACGUGCGUGAGAAACUCUAUGCCAGGUGGGACCUCCACCAUGCCUUCAAGGUUGACUAGUGUCAAUAUUUCCAGGCUCACCACGGCACCCUCCUUCAUCUCUAGAACCUCCAGAUUUGGCAGGUCUCUCAGUCUCAGGGUUUUUAGCUUGGGGAACCACUCGGCAAGAAAUGUCAUCUGCUUUCCGCUGUAUGCCCUGGUGAGCAUCAGGUCUGUCAAAUUUGACAGUCGAGAAAGAGAUGGUAAGGGGUCUUCUAUCAUCUGGGACCAAGAUAGAGACAGUGAAUACAGGUUCCGCCCCGCAAUUUGGAAGAGAGGAGACUCUCCCAAUGUGCAUUCCGCUAAUCGGCCAGUCAAGCUAAGCCUUUGCAGGUUUGGGGGUAGACCAUUCAACCGGAGAACCUCAUUGUCUUGGCUUGCAUUCACAUGUAGGUAAGAAAGGUGUCGCAUCUCGGCUAGAGAAGCACAUAUAUGUCCGCAGUAGGUUCCUUUCACAUUCCAUAUCUCCAAGCUUCUCAGUUGCCUCAGCUCCCCCAACUGUCUAACGGACUCAUCCUGCGCUUCCAGUGAUACUAGUGUCUGCAGACUUGUCAGGUUCUCAAGGCCCUUGGGGAUGCAUACACCACUGCCGCACCGGAAAUCUCUCCUGAAUCGAUCACUAGCUUUGUCAGUGAAUAACUGCCUAAGCUUUUUUAGUUUACCAAUGCCUCUAGGCAGCUCCUUCAUGCCAGACCCUGAAAGGUCCAGUGUCAACAAACUUGAGAGUUUCUCAAGAGACCUGGGAAGGAGCUUCACUUUUGAACCACGCAGACCCAGAUAGCGGAGAUUGAAAAGAUCUCCAAUACCAUCUGGAACCUUCCCAAUGGGUAGGCCACUUAACUCCAGCACCGACAUAUAUCUGGACUUCUUUGCUAUUAGAGGCAGUAGAGUGGAUGAUGGAAUAUUGAUGUCCAAUGCGAUAACAGAGCGGAGACGGUGUACACCCGAUACUGACUGAUAAAUAUCCUUCUUCAUUUUGUGUAUUACCAGCCGACGUGCAUCCGUCUCAUCAAGAGAUUCCAUGUGUUCAUCCUCCUCAUAAACAACACCAAAGCAUUCCCGGCGACACAAAUCUACUGCCAACUCACGUACAAUAUCAUGCAUCCGGAAUGAUUUUAUCCUACCAAAAGGGUUUCUUGUAUCAACUUGAAGCAUAUUUCUGUGAACCAACUCUUCUAGAUAACCUUCAGCCACUUCCUCCAUUGUGCUUUCACCCCUUCCCUUGACGAAGCCCUCUGCUACCCACAACCGUAUCAGCUUUUUCCUUUUGAAAAGAUAGUCCUCUGGGAACAAGCUGCAGUAUAGGAAACAACUUUUCAAGUAUGUCGGGAGGUACAAGUAACUCAAAUAAAGGAUAUUCCUGACAUGUUCCAAGCUUGGAUUGUUAAUUAGCUCCCAGUCGAGCUGGUCAUGUAUUCGCUUCAGUUCCUCUUUGGUCUUGUCACGUACAAAGAGGAGCUUGCCAAUAGAGACAAUUGCGAGGGGUAUGCCUUUACACUUGUCAACCACUUCAUGUGCUAAUUCUGUCAGUUCUGUGGGACACUCAUAUUUUGUAUCUCUGGGAAAAGCUGUCUUACAGAAGAGUUCCCAUGAUCCAUCCUUUGAUAGAGGUUUUAGUGUUAAGACCUGUCCUUGAGAAGCAAGUCGAGCAACAUUGCCUUCCCUGCUUGUGAUCACAACUCUGCUGCCCUUCUUGUUACGAAUAACCACCCCAGAAAGAUCAUGGAAUGCUUCAGGAGUCCAAACAUCAUCCAGCAUGAUCAAAUACUUACGCUGCUCUAAAAAAUUCUUCAGUGCCUCUUCAAGGCUUAUGAUGUCCAUGGUCUCAAUAUUAGAUGGAACAAUGGCUUUAUCUUUGAAAAGCUCCUUGAUUAAUUUUUUCAAAACAUCUUCUCUGAAAUAAGUUUGAGAGACAGAGACCCAACAGUGGCAAUCAAAAUUUUCACUUUCCUUCUUGUAGACAUUUGCAGCCAAAGUUGUUUUACCAAGCCCUCCCAUACCAUGCAGCACUAUCACAGAGCGUUCCAACUCAUCACCUGCCAACCACUGCUCAAGCUUUUUUCUGUUUCCAUCAACCUCCACGAGAUCUUCUUCGGCAAGGGAACGUGAAGUGCUUGCUAGAUGCUGAGACCUCUCAACAAUGUAACUCGAGUCAUUCAUAUACCCACUAUCUACCAUUGACACCCAUCGAUCUUUAGCCUGGAACAGGUGCACAAGAUUGACCUCCGCUUCCUUAACCAAAGAAGCUAUCCUGUUUAAAGAGAAGAAAACAUUUGGUUGUUUGAAUCCUUUCUUCAGACAGGCACUCCAUCCACUGUCAUGUUUCUGACCAACAAGAUGCAAAUACUCAUCCACAAUGUCCUCAAUCCCAUGAACAAAGAUUCUCAUCUCCUCCACCCAGAUUUCAUAUGUCUGAUUGUUGUGAUUCCGUAUGUCCAUUCGGCAAAGAUAUUCAUGCAUCAAUCUGAGCUCCUUCUGAUGCGACCCAUGCUUCCUUGAAGCUCUGUUAGCUGUUUUAUAAAGUUAUUGAACUGUAAAGUAGCCUGGUUCAUUGCUUCAUUCCCCAGAGCUACACCGAUCUUUGCCACUGCCGAGAGAAUCACAACCUCGGCCAUUGCACCUCAAGUCAGAGCUGAGACAGAUAUGUUGCACAGCAGGUAGCCUGUGUGUCUUCAGAUAAUUUCUGUGGCCCAGCCUAAAAAAUUACAAGGUACAUAUUAUUAUCACACUGCAGUACUAAACCAUGAAUUACCAUACUUCUGCAAGGAGAUACACGAAUUAUGAGCCAAGCAUAUUAAGGAACAACGAAGAGUUUUAACUCAUAAGGUGCUAUUUCCUCCAAACAAUUUGCAGAUCUAGUCUAGAAGGAAAACAAUGGAUGCAUAAUACCAAGCAACCUAUGGGAACAAUGACUCAAUGGCAAGUUGGCAACUAAAGUCGGCUGAAGCUGGGUAUUUGAGUAGUUUGGUUUUGUAGGAUCUUGCAGUUUUGAGCCAGAUCUUGUUUUGAUUGGUGGUUGGGAGAACAAGAAGAUGUCUGCACCAGCAAACUAUGGAGGCUGAUACAUGCAGAUUAAUCAACGAAAAUAACUUAUGCAUACCUGCUAAGGUAAGCCGCUGCUUUGUUGAGAAGAUCUGCCGUUCGUCGAUCCCAUACUUCUGAUGAGAAGCACUCCCAAGCUCAGGUCUGUUAAAGUUUCUAUGGUCACAAGAUGUGUAUCUUUGUACCAAACCAAUAAUUGCUCUCACCAGCCCUUGAGAAACUUCGGGAAACAUGGCGUGGCCGUCAUGUUUCAGUGUGCAGAUGAAGCACGGCAACGAGAAGUGUCUUUACUCUUUAGUACUACUCACCAGUCAGCUUAUUUAUAAAAAAUUUAUGCACACCAGUCACCACUUUUAUUAAUUAUUAUUGCUAAAUAUAGAGCUUGGGAUCCUUGCCAAUAAUUAAUUCUGAUAGUUGAUGCUGGCAGGCAUGGUGGCAUGGAUGAUACACCAAGGACAAUCUGAUCGAGACCUGUCGACAGGUAAAACAAUUCAGAAUAAGCCAUAAAGGACCGGAGGAGAAUCGGCAGCUACCUCUACCUGCACGGCAUGAGAACAUGACCGUCCUCAACAGAUCACGACCAAGAGACCCUAGCUAAUUUUUCGCCACAAAAUUCUUCAGGAAACUGUGUGCUUUGUGAAUUUACUCACAGUAUUCGACUCCGGUAAGAUAAAAGGAGAUCGAGAGGGUGCAUCGGGCUGAUACGUACUUGCACCUUUGAUCAAGAUACACCAUAGGAUACAUUUCGUUUUGUCAGCGGAAGCAGCAUUCAAGCAAAUGCAAUAGCACGGGUAUCUGUACCGGCGACUUCGCUAGUGGUGAAGUUGGAUGGCUUACCUCGCUGUCGCCGCCGCCAGGAGUCAACUUCGCGUCGGCCACGGUGGGCGAGGGAGACUUGGCCGGCAGCUGGGGGUGCGCCUGUCGCCGCAGGCGGAGACGACGCAUUCUCCUAUCCUAACCCUCGCCGGCGGUACGGUCUCCUUUUUUUUUUCUUUGAGCAAUUCCAGUCCAUUUUUCUGAAGGACAGUUCAGUCAGUUUUUUUUUGAGAACUGACAUUUCAUUCAGUAGGUGCCUUGUGAGCACCUGGCCAGAUGGGCCGGCCCGACCCCUUGCAUGGCAUGGCCCGUGACGACCCAUUAUACAAUUUUACUUCCGCGAGAGGCACAGCCAUGCUUCUCGAAAACAGAAAAAAUACGCAUUUAGAGGCAUAAUUUUUCUUUCGCAAAAGCUAUGGUUUUGCUUCCACGAGUGUUUCUAGAAAAAAAAACAUAUUUUCUCUUUUUUUUUCUUCCGCAAGAGGCACAACCGUGCCUCUCGAAAACGAAGAAGAAUGUGUUUUCUCUUCUUUUUCUUCUUCCGUAAGUUGUACGAUUUUGCUUCUGCGAGAGGCACGUCUGUCAACAUGGAUAUAGUUUUGAAAUUCUUGAUGCGAGGAAUCCAAUAAUGAAAAAUGUUUGAGAUUUAGACGCACUGUUUAAGAGAUAAAACAUUUUAAAUAAAUGGAUCUACGAAAACAAAGAAAAACUCUCAUGUUGUGCGCACAUGUAGCGCGUCACUUGUCACGACAGGGGAUGAUCUUUGAAAGAAGUACUCCACAAUUAGUGAUUUCGCAUAUCUAUUAUAGUUGAUGCCGGCAGGCAUAGUAGGAGGCCCAUAUGGCAGGCACAGUGGUAGGUCCAUGCACGACAUAUUAGUUUUUUCUCAUUUAUCUUGUAUGGAUUGUUUGUUUUUAGCCAAUUUAGCUAUUUUGGGCGUAUACAUCAGAAAUAUUUUUUUGAAUAAACAAUAAAUAAACAAAUGGUUGUGUCAUGCGGGCAUGCGAGUUUGGCUUUGUGGCCCGGCAUGGCCUCACACAUGUCGUGUCCCGUGCCGGGUCAAUGACGUGCUAAUGGUCGACGCGAUCUAUGUGGCUAGGUUUGAUUGUGACAAAGAGUGAGCAAACUUAGACCGGUACAAACACGACACGACCCACCUAUAAAUAGACCUGACACACAGCUUGCCCGAAGGCCUAGGCUCAAGAAGCAUCCUGGCAUGCGACUUAAAAAGGGCGGUUUGGCAUGCCACGGCUACAGGCCGGCUCGUGUUAAGAAAAAACCAUUCAACACUAAAAUCACUAAUUAAAGGCUAUUAAUAAGUAUGCACGUGCAACACAUGUCUCGAUUAAAUAUGUUCUACUAUGAAACUUAAUAAUUCUGUCAUAACAUAAAUUUACUUUUUGAACAGCUGAAAUCUCACGCAAAAAGCAUAUAAUUCCUAACUCGUAUAAAUGACUGUAAAUAUUGUGCUUUAUAAAUCAACAGGCCCAUGUCCACUGCUUAGCAAAUACCAUUGAUCAUUAACUAAUUGACAUAAAAUCAGUCCAUCAAGAAAAUUUAAUUGUGGCCUAUGGCCAAGCAUGCACCCCUAGCUAGUGCAUCUCGACAACCAAGGUCAUCACCAACAUCUCGCCAGCGUCCACAGUGCCAUAUAGAUAUUCAUGUAUCAUGAACAAAAUUGUUUCUCAUAUAUCACAUUCCAUGGCCUCUUAAAUUGUAUAACUGACAUAAUUCAUCAGUUAUUUCGAUCUUCGAGUCAUCAGUGUAUCCAAACUGAAGUAAAUUUGAGGUAUAAUAUUCUUCUAGGUCGUGCCUAUGAGUGGGCCAUUGCCAAUAAGCAACAGAAAAAAAGAUAUGCGAGUGUGUGUACACAGGCAAUGAUAAAUAGUACUCUUUUUCUUUUCACAUAAGCUGAUCAAAUGAAAUAAUUCAUCAAGGUUGUGAGAUACAAGUUUGUCCACCUAAGAAACAAAAUAUUGCUAGUUAGCAAACCAAGCUGCAGCACCUGUGGCUGUUCCAAGCUAAAAUCACGUACCCGUGAAACCAGCCUGAGAGACAAAGCAGAUGCGCAAACCACUGAAGGUAGAGCCACGCUUACUCAUAAUCUAAAGGCAUUUGUGGUCAUUUAGUGUUCAUCCUUCCAUGGCAAGGUCCAAAGCAACGAAGGUAUUUGCAACCUGAUAUUUGGAAAAGCUCUCCAUGUAUCUGACCCCCUUAGUCUAUGUUCGGUUCCAACAGAUUAUAUCCACUAGUGGAUCUAAUACCUGCAGGGUUUUGGUGUCGCCACCCAACCCCCACGUGGAAUCAUUCCACUAGGGGGAUUAAUCCUUCUCACCUAAUCUCUGUUCGGUUAAAAAACUCACCAGCAAAAACACUUCGUAGUAUACGGCAGCAUAACAACAGUAUACAACAUCACAGCAGCACAACAAGAGUAAUAUAAGUCUUGUUCAUUAGUGAAAGCAAUCAGUUACAAUUACAAGUAGGAAUCAGCAGCAUGCUUAGAAGCCAACAAAAAAGCCUGUGGUUUGUUCAAAAAAGCAGAGAAAUUACCUUGUACAGAGUUGUAGAUCAGUAGAUAAAAUUACGAUCAGCAGAUGAAAUUACGAUCAGUAGAUGAAUCAUUUUGGGACUUCUAGCGCCCAGACUACGAGCUGGACAAUCGGAGCAGCAGAACUGCACCACCGCGGACGCCGGAACUGCAGCCGGAAGGCAGGGCCGUACCCGCACGGCCGACGGAGGAAGUGGAGUGGCCUUUGGGUCCUGGGACCGACGGAGGUCGGAGGGAGAGGGCUGCCGUCCGCCGGAUCUGGAAGCCUUGGCGUCGUUCGCCGUCGCCGCCGUCAGUUAGGUCCGGGUCGCCGCCGAGCUUGCCGCUGCAACUAGAUGCUGUGGCGCCGGUUGGACAGGAGAGAGAGGGGGGAGGGGGGCACGCCGCCGCAGUCUCUGCAGUCUCCGGCGCCGCCACGACACGAAAGAGGUCGGGCGAGAGAGUGUGCCGUUUCGCGAAAGACAGAGAGCUUCCACGAGAUGUGACGCGUGGGCCGUUUCCCUGCGAUUUCCACGGGGUUUGGGAGGGAACUAAUCCUGGCCAGGUCUAACCGAAGACUGUUAUAAGCCAGACCGGGAUCUGACCCUAGCCGGGGAGAAACCCACGGGGAUCAGCGGGGUUUCGACCCGAUCCCGGCGGGGGUGGGGAUAACCGAACAUAGCCUUAGUUUUGCGAAAGCAAAGAAAUCAAUCUCUAGGAGAGUAUUAACACAUAUCACUGAUGAUGAACAUAACUCUGCAAAAAAAAGGAAAAACUGUGAAGAAGAUUUACAAACGUAGCUGUACAUAUGCUACAUUAAUUUCCAUCUAAUCUUCAAACCAUGUUCCCGGUCUGCAGUAUGUUGUCUUGCUCGUCCAGCCUGAACCAACCUGAACUGAUAGAGAAAGUUCCCCGUAGCACUUUAUUUGUGAGGAUAUAACAUGAGUCAACAACAAAUUUAUCAUUGUUAUUCAUGACAAGAUAAUAGAUCAUUUAUAAAUAUAUAUUUUGUUGGUUGUUGAUUACUGGAAAGUAAUACCAAUAUGGGCUUACAAUUUUGGGCAUGUUUCUUUGCAACGACGACUUCUAUUAGCAGAGGUAAAUCAUAAUCUUAUAAACAUAUGUUACUAAUAAAGAAUAUUGAGAAAAUACUACUUUUCUUUUUAUAUUACUUUUUUUUAUAGAAAAGGAGGUCAGCCCCCGGCCUCUGCAUCAAAGCGAUGCAUACGACCAUCUUAUUAAUAAGUAAAUUGUACCAACAAAGUCUUCAAAUCUCAAAUCAUAAGAUACAAAAUGCUCACACCGAGCCAAAAAGGAAAAGACAGGAUAACCACAACCGGUGGCAUAAAAGAAAGAUAGGACCUAAAUUCCUAUCAUAUUACAUGACCGCCAUUCAAACCGGUUGAAGAUAGCUCGUGCUACCGUCUCCCAACGGAUAGACCCAGUAACCAAAUGCUCCCUGGCAUCCAUCAAAGUGAGUAGCGACCACAUAUGGAUCAGAGUAGUGGCCCGAAAGAUAACCUGCAAGAAAUGCACAUUCUUGCUCUAUUAAAAACCAUAUCAUUCCUGCAAUUCCAUAUAGCCCAUAAUAGUGCACAAACGCAUACACGGAUGUGACUCGCUAAUUCUUUGUCAACUCCGUUUAGCCACAUCCCAAACAACGUGUUGAUACUAGUUGGAGGAGUAAUGUUAAACGCUAUAUGUACCAAGCGCCAUAAAACUUUGGCCAGCGGGUAAUCAAGAAAGAUGUGUUUGAUAGAUUCAUCAUGGUCACAGAAACUACAUCUCGGAGACCCAUUCCAUUUAUGUUUGGCCAAGUUGUCCUUAGUGAGAAUUACUUAUUUAUGGACAAACCACAUAAACACUUUAAUCCGUAAGGGUACUUUGGCCUUCCAAAUGUGAACAGACCGAGGUAUGGGUACAAAGUUGAUUAAAUCCAGAUACAUGUACUUCACUGAAAACGUUCCAUUUUUUGUUAGUUUCCAAUGAAUCAGAUCUGGCUGCUGAGACAACUGGACAUCCAUCAAUCUUCUCACAAGAUGGAGCCAUGCUUCCCAAUGAUUUCCGACCAGCGUCCUUCUGAAUUGAAUAUUUAGAGGGUUGGACUGUAACACUGUUGCAACAUAAGCAUCUCUGCGUUGAACAAUAUUAUAGAGGGAUGGAUAUUGGAUAGCUAGGGGCAUCUUCCCAAGCCACGUAUCUUCCCAGAAUCUCGUGGAGAAACCGUUACCAACGAUAAACUUUGUUCUAUUGAAAAAUGCUACUUUCACUUUCAUUAGUCCUUUUCAAAAUGGUGAGUCAGUUGGCCUAACUGUCACCUGUGGUAGGGUCUUAGUGGUAAGGUACUUAUUACGCAAGAUCUGGGCCCAUAAAUUAGAACAGUCACUUUUCUUUUUAUAUUACUUUAAUUAGAACAGUCAAUUUCUUCCAUGUCCCGAAACUUCUCAUAGACCCUCUCCGGCUUUAACUCGCCAAUUUUGGGUUAGGGUAAAAUCAUGGGUUUUCCCCAAAAUAAAAAAACAACAAUAAUAAAGAAACCCUAACAAUGCAAGCCUAUCAGACAAUCAUGCACUUCCGAUGGCAGGUCAACAAUUGGACAUACAGAAACCUUUAGUCCUCAAUUUUUUCCCAUUACAAAAUUAACCAUGGAACACCUGUGUGUGUGUGUGUG
rnacentral:lncRNA from 1 species